CCUACGGGAGGCAGCAGUGGGGGAUAUUGCACAAUGGAGGAAACUCUGAUGCAGCAACGCCGCGUGAGGGAAGAAGGUCUUCGGAUUGUAAACCUCUGUCCUCAGGGACGAUAAUGACGGUACCUGAGGAGGAAGCUCCGGCUAACUACGUGCCAGCAGCCGCGGAAAUACGUAGGGAGCAAGCGUUGUCCGGAUUUACUGGGUGUAAAGGGUGCGUAGACGGCCCUGCAAGUCAGGUGUGAAAACUCUGGGCUUAACUCAUAGGUUGCACUUGAAAUCGUGGGGAUUGAGUGAAGUAGAGGCGGGCGGAAUUCCCCGUGUAGCAGUGAAACGCGUAGUGUUCGGGAAGAACACCGGUGGCGAAGGCGGGCUGCUGGGCUUUAACUGACGCUGGGGCACGAAAGCGUGGGUAGCAAACAGGAUUAGAUACCCGUGUAGUC
rnacentral:rRNA from 1 species